rnacentral:lncRNA from 1 species
GAUCCAGUGGCAGGAGCCAGUCAUGAAGUUCUGGAGGAAACCAACAGGUGGAAAUGCUACCAGGAGAUAGAACUGAUACAAUCGGGAAGGAGGGAAGAGAGGAGAACCAGGUGCCUGGCUUGCGCAACCGGAAGGAUGAUGACCUCCUGUAGUCCUUACAACAACAAAUGGUGUGAGCACGCGUCUUUCCACAUUUCCAGAUGAGGAAACGGAAACAGGGAGCAAGGAGAAGUCGCUUGUCCAAGGCUACGUAAUUGGAAGAACUAGUUAGAAAGUAUGGAAGAGGAAAAGCCAAAGACCUCAACUGGGGUCCAAUUAUUUGGAUCUGAUUAUCCCCCAAACCCUCAUUGUUGGUACAGUUAACCCUGGAUAGCUUGCAGUGGCAAACUCUGUUGGCGACCUUCACUGUUUGUAAUACCUUCUACGGUAACCAACUGGGAUAUUUUCUCCAGAUUAAAAUUCAAC